AGUGAACGCUGGCGGUAGGCCUAACACAUGCAAGUCGAACGGCAGCACAGUAAGAGCUUGCUCUUACGGGUGGCGAGUGGCGGACGGGUGAGGAAUACAUCGGAAUCUACUUUUUCGUGGGGGAUAACGUAGGGAAACUUACGCUAAUACCGCAUACGACCUACGGGUGAAGGCAGGGGAUCUUCGGACCUUGCGCGAUUGAAUGAGCCGAUGUCGGAUUAGCUAGUUGGCGGGGUAAAGGCCCACCAAGGCGACGAUCCGUAGCUGGUCUGAGAGGAUGAGCGGCCACACUGGAACUGAGACACGGUCCAGACUCAUACGGGAGGCAGCAGUGGGGAAUAUUGGACAAGGGGCGCAAGCCUGAUCCAGCCAUGCCGCGUGAGUGAAGAAGGCCUGCGGAUUGUAAAGCCCUUUUGUUGGGAAAGAAAAGAAGCAGGUUAAUACCCCGCUGUUCUGACGGUACCCAAAGAAUAAGCACCGGCUAACUUCGUG
rnacentral:rRNA from 1 species